UGGUGGAGUGAUUUGUCUGGUUGAUUCCGUUAACGAACGAGACCUCGGCUUGUUUUAUAGUGCUGCAAAUGGCAUCCAUUUGUAUUGGUACUUCAAAGAGGGACAUUUCGGUUUUACCGGAAGGAAGUUCGAGGCAAUAACA
rnacentral:rRNA from 1 species